rnacentral:rRNA from 1 species
GACGAACGCUGGCGGCGUGCUUAACACAUGCAAGUCGAGCGGUAAGGCCCUUCGGGGUCCACGAGCGGCGAACGGGUGAGUAACACGUGAGUAAUCUGCCCAUCACUUCGGGAUAACUCCGGGAAACCGGUGCUAAUACCGUAUAUGACCACUUCAGGCAUCUGAUGGUGGUGGAAAGUUCCGGCGGUGAUGGAUGAGCUCGCGGCCUAUCAGCUUGUUGGUGGGGUAGUGGCCUACCAAGGCUUCGACGGGUAGCCGGCCUGAGAGGGUGACCGGCCACACUGGGACUGAGACACGGCCCAGACUCCUACGGGAGGCAGCAGUGGGGAAUAUUGGACAAUGGGCGAAAGCCUGAUCCAGCAACGCCGCGUGAGGGAUGACGGCCUUCGGGUUGUAAACCUCUUUCAGCAGGGACGAAGCGCAAGUGACGGUACCUGCAGAAGAAGCACCGGCCAACUACGUG